rnacentral:rRNA from 1 species
UUACCAUGCAAGUCGAACGGUGAAGCCCAGCUUGCUGGGUGGAUCAGUGGCGAACGGGUGAGUAACACGUGAGCAACCUGCCCCUGACUCUGGGAUAAGCGCUGGAAACGGCGUCUAAUACUGGAUACGAGACGUGAUCGCAUGGUCAACGUUUGGAAAGAUUUUUCGGUUGGGGAUGGGCUCGCGGCCUAUCAGCUUGUUGGUGAGGUAAUGGCUCACCAAGGCGUCGACGGGUAGCCGGCCUGAGAGGGUGACCGGCCACACUGGGACUGAGACACGGCCCAGACUCCUACGGGAGGCAGCAGUGGGGAAUAUUGCACAAUGGGCGCAAGCCUGAUGCAGCAACGCCGCGUGAGGGAUGACGGCCUUCGGGUUGUAAACCUCUUUUAGCAGGGAAGAAGCGAGAGUGACGGUACCUGCAGAAAAAGCACCGGCUAACUACGUGCCAGCAGCCGCCGGUAAUACGUAGGGUGCCAAGCGUUAUUCCGGAAUUUAUUGGGGCGUAAAAGAGCUUCGUAGGCGGUUUUGUCGCGUUCUGCUGUGAAAUUCUGGGGGGCUCAACCCCCCAGCCUGCAGUGGGUACGGGCAGACCUAGAGUGCSGUUAGGGGAGAUUGGAAUUCCCUGGUGUAGCGGUGGAAUGCGCAGAUAUCAGGAGGAACACCGAUGGCGAAGGCAGAUYUUCUGGGCCGUAACUGACGCUGAGGAGCGAAAGGGUGGGGAGCAAMCAGGYUUAGAUACCCUGGUAGUCCACCCCGUAAACGUUGGGAACUAGUKGUGGGGUCCAUUCCACGGAUUCCGUGACGCAGCUAACGCAUUAAGUUCCCCGCCUGGGGAGUACGGCSGCAAGGCUAAAACUCAAAGGAAUKGACGGGGACCCGCACAAGCGGCGGAGCAUGCGGAUUAAUUCGAUGCAACGCGAAGAACCUUACCAAGGCUUGACAUAUACGAGAACGGGCCAGAAAUGGUCAACUCUUUGGACACUCGUAAACAGGUGGUGCAUGGUUGUCGUCAGCUCGUGUCGUGAGAUGUUGGGUUAAGUCCCGCAACGAGCGCAACCCUCGUUCUAUGUUGCCAGCACGUAAUGGUGGGAACUCAUGGGAUACUGCCGGGGUCAACUCGGAGAAAGGUGGGGAUGACGUCAAAUCAUCAUGCCC